GCUGGCGCCAUCGGAAGUUGGUUGACCGCCACUGUAAUCGGCCAGCCUCACGCUUCUCUCGGGACUGAAAUCUCGGAUAUCACGAGUAACGAUGGGUAUGAUUUCAAAUAUGCAACAUUUCCGAUAAAACUCGACUAGUGAGGCAAGGAAAUCCGACAUCGGCGUGACUCGUAAAACACCUUCGGAAGCAGAGCUCCGCUCGCUACUCCGUUUUCGGGGAGAACGGAAAUAGAGUAGCUACGCCAUCAACCCCCGCUCGCCCGUCGUUCCCUAGUGCGCGCAACGCGUUUAUUCUCUGUAUUUCUUAGUAUCGUGUACACAUACGCGUUGCGUUCACGUAAGGAAGCUUGCCCGCUUGCGGUGGGGUUGACGGCAUCGCGGCGGUAUGCGUCUUGGUGGACCCUGGCGUGUGACGCAUCUAAUAUAGCGUCUCCUAUUCUUAAAUCCGUGCGACACCACCUUGAUCGCGAAGCAACGACCAGCAGAUUUCUGACUUAAAUUCAGUCAGAGACUGAAGAGAAGAGGAGACUUUGAUUGCGGUGCAUGAUCCGUACAAAAUCGAGAUUUUGGACAUUAUCCUGUGAUCUCUUCUUCAACACCGUUGUACCUGCGAUGCGUGAUCAGGAA